rnacentral:lncRNA from 10 species
ACUUUUGCCUAGAGAAAGUAAGCUUUCCUUGGAGCCUUUGUUUUUUGUGCCUGUUGGUAUUUCUGAGUGUGGGCCUCUCCGGUACUCAAAUGAAGAUAUACGGGAGGGAAAUCAUAACAAGGAACUCACCACCUGGUUGUUCCUCAUGUCUCAGAAUCCCUGGCCAAGUCACCUUCUUUUCUCUGCCUCUCAGUCUUCUGAUGGUUGCUUUAGAGAUUUCAUCCAGAGUUUGGUUGUAAAUAGUGGGAAAUAUAAGAUGGAAUGUGGUUACUCCAAUAGAAAUGAGAGGAAUCUUUUAUACUUACUUCCAUGUUUUACCAUUUCUGAUGCUCUUCAUUUCUUUGUGUAAACCAAGCUUGUCCAACCAUGGCCCAUGGGCCACAUGAGGGCCAGGAUGGCUUUGAAUGUGGCCCAACACAAAUUCAUAAACUUUCCUAAAACAUUAUGGGAUUUUUUGCGAUUUUUUGAAGCUCAUUAGCUAUCCUUAGGGUUAGCAUAUUUUAUGUGUGGCCCAAGACAAUUCUAUCUCCAAUGUGGCCCAGGGAAGCCAAAAGAUUGGACACCCCUGGUGUAGACCCGAAUUUUUGUCUGCUCUCACAUUCCAUGUAAUAGAGAGUAAGAUUCCAUUUUUUAUGUUUGACCUUUGAUAGCUUUCAAACCUCAUUCCUUCUCCAGUUACAAGGACCUGCAUAUUUCUUCCCUUGGUGUCAGCAGGAAGUCUGAACCACACAAGCCCCACCCUUUGUGCUUGAACCUUUUCCUCAGUCCCACCACCUACUCACAAUACAAGCCAAAUCCAUUAACUCUGCCUCACUCCCACCAUUUAUACUGACUUGCACCUGACCUUUUCUCUUCAGAAAGUCCCAUGGCAUGAGCAAGAAGCAUUUCCAUAUCUUCUCGGUGCAUACGGCCUUAUCAUUCUUGACAUUUAAACUAUUCCAGUGAGAGGGGGCCGAUCCCAUCCUCCUCAAGGUGAUCAUAAUACACUCUUACUAUCUGAAGAAAUUUCUUUAAAUGAAUCGAGAAUGAAUUGUCUCAGCCUUUGUUUGUUUGAAAAUGUUUUUAUUUUACCCUAAUUUUUAAAAAUAUUUUUAUUUAAUAUAGAAUUCUGGGUUGAGAGAUUUUUUCCCUUUCUUUCAGCAUUUUAAAAAUGUCACUCCAUUGUCUUUUGGCUUGUGUAGUUUCUGAUCAGAAGUGUCCUGUAAUUCUUAUCUUUACUGUUCUGCAUGUAAUGUUCCCUUUUUUCUCUGCUAUCUUCAAGCUUUUCUCUUCAUCUUCCACUUUUGACAGUUUCACUAUGAUGUGUAUAGUUAAGUGGGAUUUUUUGCUGAUGGUGGUGUUGGUGUUUUCUUUUUCCUUUCUUUUAUUUUUGGUAUUAAUUCUGCAUAGGGUUCUCUGAGAGUCUUGGAUCUGUGGUUUAAUGUCUGUUAUUACUUUUGGAAAAUCCUUGACUAUUGUCUCUUCUAAUAUUUCUUCUUCUUCAUUCCCUCCUCUCCUGUGACUGAUAACAUAUACGUUAGCCCGUCUCAUGAUGUCCUACAGCUCUUGAAUACUCUGCUUUGCUUUUGCCAUUAUUUUUUCUUUGUGUUUCUCUUUGGAUAAUUUUUAUUGACCUAUUUUCAAAUUUGUUGAUUUUUUUCAAAGCUGUAUUCAUUCUACUCAUGUGCCUGUCAAAAGAAUUCUUUAUCUGUGAUGUCAUAUAUUUAAUUUCUAGCACUUCUAUUUUACUUUGUCUUGUAGUGUUCCUCUCGCUGGUGAAAUUCCCUAUCUGUUUGCGUUUGUUGCCCCUUUUACAUUAGAUGCAUUAACAUAUUUAUUAUAGUUAUUUUAAAAUCUCUGUCUAAUGGUUCCAACUAUUGGGGUCAUCAAGUCUAUUUCUGUUGAUUGCUUUGUCUCUAGAUUGUUUUAUCUUUUGCUUUUUAAAAAAUUAUAAUUUUUGAUCGAAUGCCAGACAUUGUGUGUUAACAGUACAGACUGAGGUAAAUAAUAUUCACAUCUCCAAAUUAUUAUGCCUAUUAUGUCUGACUUCUAGUGUGCAAGGUGAAGUCGAUCUAGUUAGGAGCUGAGCUGGGUUUGGGUUUACUUUGUUGCUAUUGCUAUCUUCAGUGCUGCUAAGGCUUCAAGUUUCUGUAAAUACGAGAUGUUUCUAUAAUAUCUUGUACUAGAUUGGGGACUGGGGUGUUGGGUGGUUUUCUUCUGUGUUCCUAAUGCUCCCUUUACCUUUUAGCUAUUCCUGCAUGUCUUUGCCACAGAGGGACUCUAUCUAUACUCUCGCCUCUUCAGGGAUAGACUCUCUUUACUUGUUACUCUGUGCUAGGCUUAUGGUGAGAUAGGGUUUUCUUUGUUGUCUUGCUGCAACCUCAAUCUUAGACAGAUAUAAACCUUAGGGUGGGGCUGUCUCAGCAAUUCUGCUCUUCCUUCCUACGGCAAUUAAAUUCUGCCUUGUAUCUGUGAUGGUCUUGGACAGGAGAUUCCUGCUCUCCCCUCCCUCAGUGUAGCAGACUUCUGGUUGGUACUGGUAUAGGAUCCUGGGCCUGGAAUAGCUUCUUUAUUUUAUCUCAGAACUAGGACAUUUUUGCAUCUACCCUUCCCACAGUACCAAAGGAUUUUCUCCUGUGUCCUUGGGGCUAGAGUUUUCCUACCCCUCUUCCAGAGGCAUAUAAGUUUUGCUUCUAGUCUUUCUAUAAGAGCAAUGGAUUUUGCCUGUGCCCUGUGUGUGGGAGGAUGCGGUCCCCUCCCCUCAAUGUCUUAAGGCGUUUACUGCAUAGAAAGGAAGGAUCCAGGGGAAGUGGGUGGGGCUUUGUUCCUGUCCUCCAACAGCAGCUGAUCUUGUCCUGCACACCCACAUACCUGUGCCUCUGAAGGAGCAGCCCCCGUUUCCUGCCCACUCCUAAUAUGUCUCUUGAGAGCCCUCAGUGAUUUUGUGAGUGAGUGUGACUCCCUGAGUUUCCCAGUUAUUCCAAACUUACAUCCUAGGCCACACUUGGACUUUAAUGAUUUACUAACAUUUUAUCUGAUAGCUUCAUACCUAAUGGGGGCCACAUGUUUUUCCUGUGCUCAGGCAAAGGUGAGAAACGCCAUGUGUCUCGUGUCUCCCUGGAGUGCCUGCUCCCUCUUUGGAAUUCUGCUUAUUUGGUUGCCUUGCCAUCUUAGAUCUUUGAUAGACUCAAGAAAAAUUAUAAUGUUGGUACACUAGCCAGGUUUUUUUAUUAUUCUUUGCAGCUUUCUACAUCCCACAUGGAAGCAGCAAUGAGAUGUUUUAAAACGAGAUGUUUCAAAAUCACCAUCUCACUCUAGUUUGUCUACAAAGCCAUCUAUCAAGAACAUUAUAUGAACUUUUAAAUACAUUCUUCUGUAUUUAUAGAAUGAUUUUUAAAGCAUUUCCAGCCAUGUUUAAAAGCUGUGAAUAGUCUUUUUUUUGUAACCUAGUAACCAAAGUUAUUAAUGAAAGUCACAGUUAAACUUUUUUCCUUUGAAAAUAAAAUGAAUCAACACAUAACGAGAAGGUUAACAUUUUUCUCUAUCUUCUGGAAA